UACGAAGGGGGCUAGCGUUGCUCGGAAUCACUGGGCGUAAAGCGCACGUAGGCGGUUUGUUACGUCCGGGGUGAAAUCCUGGAGCUCAACUCCAGAACUGCCUUUGAUACUGGCGAUCUUGAGUCCGGGAGAGGUGAGUGGAACUCCGAGUGUAGAGGUGAAAUUCGUAGAUAUUCGGAAGAACACCAGUGGCGAAGGCGGCUCACUGGCCCGGUACUGACGCUGAUGUGCGAAAGCGUGGGGAGCAAACAGG
rnacentral:rRNA from 1 species